AUUGAACGCUGGCGGCAGGCCUAACACAUGCAAGUCGAGCGGGUUUCGGACCUAGCGGCGGACGGGUGAGUAAUGCGUAGGAAGCUACCCGAUAGAGGGGGAGUACCAGUUGGAAACGACUGUUAAUACCGCAUAAUGUCUACGGACCAAAGUGUGGGGACCUUCGGGGCCACAUGCUAUCGGAUGCGUCUACGUGGGAUUAGCUAGUUGGUGAGGUAAUGGGCUCACCAAGGCGACGAUCUCUAGCUGGUUUGAGAGGAUGAUCAGCCACACUGGAACUGAGACACGGUCCAGACUCCUACGGGAGGCAGCAGUGGGGAAUAUUGGACAAUGGGCGCAAGCCUGAUCCAGCCAUGCCGCGUGUGUGAAGAAGGCCUUCGGGUUGUAAAGCACUUUCAGCGAGGAGGAAGAGUUGUGUGUUAAUAGUACACAGCUUUGACGUUACUCGCAGAAGAAGCACCGGCUAACUCUGUG
rnacentral:rRNA from 1 species